rfam:Dethiosulfovibrio salsuginis strain TSBA 82 genome assembly, contig: Ga0105850_118
CGACGUAGCCCAGAGCCCGUAUACUCGACCUGCCGCCUUUGAGUACGAAUGGGGCGACAGGACGUCGCCCCAAGCCGAGGGGGCACAGGACGUGCCCUCCGAGGCGGUUCGUACGAAACAGGCAGGUCGAGUAUACGAUUGGGCCAGGGCGUAGGCG